rnacentral:lncRNA from 1 species
CUUAUUACAAUCACAAAGGAGGAAGCGGGGAUUUAUGACUUCAUGCAGUUUAAACCACCUGCCUGCCUAAGUGGCAAAGCUAGCUGCUCACAGGACAGCUCUGAAUCUGACUAAGCUUAUUCCAUCAAACUUCACUCCAGAAUUUUCAAAUCACCGAACCCCAAAGUUAUGGGAAUUUGUUGCCAAGGGAGAAAGACAGUGGAAUUUCUGCUGCCUACUGAGCCCGGAGGCUGGGUCAUCUUGCAGUAGCUUCCACAACAUUCCCAGGCUACGAGAGCUUACAGUCCAUUAGCACUGAAUCAGGUUUUCAUCAGGAGGUCAUCCUAAAACCUGAAAGAGCCCUGUAAAAGAGUGAGUGCUGAAGAGAAGAAUGUCCACUCUCUGAAGCAUUUUGUGUGGUAAAUGCUAAUGGAGAAGUCUGUCUGUGGGCUUUUUCAAACCUCCCUCCUGAGUAGUUAUCUAUGUGUCUCCACAUCUCCCUGUGCUUUCCACAAAGCAGCGUUUGAGAGUCAGAAUCACAGAGAAUCACAGGCAGCUUUCCUGAUCUGCAGAAACUAUAAAACUGACCCAAUAGAUAUGGAUAUCGCCUCAUCAGCAAAGCAGCACUCUCGCAUAUUCUUUCCUGAAGGUAUAAUCCAACAUUAAAUUCAGGAUUUAUAUAGUUUCAAUAUGCUCCUCAUUGAUUCCAGAUUAGACUGUAUUGCCUGCCCUCAUGAGAUGUGUUUCUCCUCCAAGAAUUCCUGAUAGUCCUCUGGUGUGUAUGUGUGUGCACUCAUGCAUUUGGCUUUCAGCUACAGCCACCAUAUGGCGACUACCACACUUACCCUUCUCCUGCAAGAGGCACACAGCCUACCCUGAGUUUUCCGGUGGUUCUGAACAGGGGCCCAAAGAUGCCUGUGACUCAGGCUCUCCAUCACCAUUACAAUAGAAAGAAUGGACAUACAAAGAAUCACAUUUGCCUUCCACUUCUGCAAUUUGCUGACCCUAGCAGACUACACGAACUAGAUGAUUGGAACUCCUCAAGGGUAACCUCUGUAAGACUGCAGACUUAAAGGUUGUCAGCAACUUGGCUUAUAUCUGCAGUGGCUUUGUUUCUCUCCAGUGCAUAAACCAAAGGUAAAAUUGGACUCACGAGCUAACCUUUACCACCAGGCAUUCUUUUACUUGAAGAUGAUAAUAGACUUUCCUUGUGGUGGAAGUUGUGCGCCAUGAGUGCCCUCUCUUGUGUCACCGUACGAGUGUGUAAAGUAAGAAGUGCAGGCAGGGAGUAGCAGGA